AGCGAACGCUGGCGGCAGGCCUAACACAUGCAAGUCGAACGAAGCCUUCGGGCUUAGUGGCGGACGGGUGAGUAACACGUGGGACCGUACCUUUUGAUUCGGAACAACUCAGGGAAACUUGAGCUAAUACCGGAUGAGCCCUUAGGGGGAAAGAUUUAUCGCCGAAAGAGCGGCCCGCGUUAGAUUAGCCAGUUGGUGAGGUAAAGGCGCACCAAGGCAACGAUCUAUAGCUGGUCUGAGAGGAUGAGCAGCCACACUGGGACUGAGACCCGGCCCAGACUCCUACGGGAGGCAGCAGUGGGGAAUCUUGCGCAAUGGGCGAAAGCCUGACGCAGCCAUGCCGCGUGAAUGAUGAAGGUCUUAGGAUUGUAAAAUUCUUUUACCAGGGACGAUAAUGACGGUACCUGGAGAAAAAGCCCCGGCUAACUUCGUGCCAGCAGCCGCGGUAAUAC
rnacentral:rRNA from 1 species